UACGUAGGGUGCAAGCGUUGUCCGGAAUUAUUGGGCGUAAAGAGCUCGUAGGCGGUUUGUCGCGUCGGCUGUGAAAACCCGGGGCUCAACCCCGGGCCUGCAGUCGAUACGGGCAAACUAGAGUGCGGUAGGGGAGACUGGAAUUCCUGGUGUAGCGGUGAAAUGCGCAGAUAUCAGGAGGAACACCGGUGGCGAAGGCGGGUCUCUGGGCCGUAACUGACGCUGAAACACGAAAGCGUGGGUAGCGAAUGGG
rnacentral:rRNA from 1 species